UAUUUAGGUAGAGCGUCAUCCGAAUACCCCCGGGGGUAGAGCACUGGAUGGGUAAUGGGGCCCCACAGGCUUACUGAUCCUAACCAAACUCCGAAUACCGGGGAGUACUAGAUGGCAGACACACGGCGGAUGCUAACGUCCGUCGUGGAGAGGGAAACAACCCUGACCAACAGCUAAGGCCCCUAAUUCAUGGCUAAGUGGGAAAGCAGGUGGGACGACCAAAACAACCAGGAGGUUGGCUUAGAAGCAGCCAUCCUUUAAAGAUAGCGUAACAGCUCACUGGUCUAAAUAAGUUGUCCUGCGGCGAAGAUGUAACGGGGCUCAAGCCAUGAGCCGAAGCUUAGGAUGCCGCAAGGCAUGGUAGC
rnacentral:rRNA from 17 species